rnacentral:rRNA from 1 species
GGGGAAUAUUGCACAAUGGGCGCAAGCCUGAUGCAGCCAUGCCGCGUGUGUGAAGAAGGCCCUCGGGUUGUAAAGUACUUUCAGCGGGGAGGAAGGCGUUAAGGUUAAUAACCUUGGCGAUUGACGUUACCCGCAGAAGAAGCACCGGCUAACUCCGUGCCAGCAGCCGCGGUAAUACAGAGGGUGCGAGCGUUAAUCGGAAUUACUGGGCGUAAAGCGCACGCAGGCGGUUCGUUAAGUCAGAUGUGAAAUCCCCGGGCUCAACCUGGAACUGCAUCUGAUACUGGCAAGCUGGAGUCUCGUAGAGGGGGGUAGAAUUCCAGGUGUAGCGGUGAAAUGCGUAGAGAUCUGGAGGAAUACCGGUGGCGAAGGCGGCCCCCUGAACGAAGACUGACGCUCAGGUGCGAAAGCGUGGGGAGCAAAC